AUGAGGCACAAUGCAGCAAGUAAAUACAAAACAAAAGUGAUUAAUUUAUCACCCUUUGAAAGUAAAGACAAACCUCAUGUGUUCUUGGCACCCCUUAUGACUGAACAUCCAAAAGCACUACAUAGAGCAUCUAGAGUUCAUAAAACCAUCCACUUUCCUUCACUGAAUAAAGAACAUUCAGUCCCAGGCAGCGUCAGUAGAAAGACUCAUCAUGAGGGGCAUCAAAAAAAUUCUACCUUAAACCAAAAAACAAGGCAAACUUGAAGAUGGUCUGUCUGCUGUGAUCACUACAGCUAGAAAAACUAGCUAUAAAGUGCUAAAUACUGCUGCCCAAAAAUCUCUACUCUACUCAUACAUUUGAGAAUAAAUUAAUUCUGGACAAAAUAAAUAACACGAGCAAAUUUGUGGAGACAGCAAUGAAAUUGCGAGACUGGAAGCCUUAUGAAAAUAACACUGCCUAGACUGAAUGGUGCUUAUUGAGCAAUAGUAGGAGAGACCCUGAAUAAACAGGGUAGGCCCAGAUCAUGGAGGGCCUUGAUUGGCAGCAGGACUCUUCUUUAUCUUCUUUAUCAUCUGGAACCAAUUUGAGACUCUAAAAUCAAAGCCUCUGUUGCUGAUGUUAAGAAAGGAGCUCUCUGUUGAAGUUUCAGCUCCUGGUCACUAAUAUUCCUGUACUGCCUUCUGGUGUGGUGUAAAACCAAUUAAAGGAAAUUUGUGCUCUGUGUGUCUUGAUAAUGUCAUGAUUUCUUAAGUGUCAAUUAUUUGCAAAUCUAUUCUUUAUGAUACUAUACAAAGAAAAGUCAUCUCCAUACAUUUCUU
rnacentral:lncRNA from 1 species